rnacentral:rRNA from 1 species
UUUAAAAGAUUUUAAACAUGCAUGUCUCAGUACAGGCCUUUAUACGGUGAAACCGCGAAUGGCUCAUUAAAUCAGCUAUGGUUUAUUGGAUCAUACCCGUUAAAUGGAUAACUGUAAUAACUCUAGAGCUAAUACAUGCCUCGAUGCCCUGACCCUGUCCUCCUGUGGCUCGUUGUAGCUGCAGUCGAGGGUGGGGGAGGGGUGCACUUAUUAGAUCAGAAGCCAACCGGCGUUGCGCGUGUAUUCAUGUGCAAGGCUGAAGCACUUCUGGUGACUCUGGAUAAUUGUUACAGAUCGCAGUCGGCCUUGAGUCGGCGACGGGUCCUUCAAAUGUCUGCCCUAUCAACUUUCGAUGGUAGGUGACCUGCCUACCAUGGUGAUAACGGGUAACGGGGAAUCAGGGUUCGAUCCGAGAGGAGCCUAGAAAUGGCCUU